GAUGAACGCUGGCGGCGUGCCUAAUACAUGCAAGUCGAUCGAACAGAUGAGAAGCUUGAUUCUCUGAUGUUAGCGGCGGACGGGUGAGUAACACGUGGGUAAUCUACCUAUAAGACUGGGUUAACUCCGGGAAACCGGGGCUAAUACCGGAUAAUAUUUUCAAACGAAUGGAUAAAUAGGGAAAGACGGUUGCGUCGGUCACUGAUAGAGGGCCCCGCGCCGUAUUAGCUAGUUGGUAAGGUAACGGCUUACCAAGGCGACGAUCCGUAGCCGACCUGGGAGGGUGAUCGGCCACACUGGAACUGAGACACGGUCCAGACUCCUACGGGAGGCAGCAGUAGGGAAUCUUCCGCAAUGGGCGAAAGCCUGACGGAGAAACGCCGCGUGAGUGAUGAAGGUCUUCGGAUCGUAAAACUCUGUUGUUAGGGAAGAACAAAUUUGUUAGUAACUGAACAAGUCUUGACGGUACCUAACCAGAAAGCCACGGCUAACUACGUGCCAGCAGCCGCCGUAA
rnacentral:rRNA from 1 species